rnacentral:rRNA from 1 species
AAAUUGAAGAGUUUGAUCAUGGCUCAGAUUGAACGCUGGCGGCAGGCCUAACACAUGCAAGUCGAACGGUAACAGGAAGCAGCUUGCUGCUUCGCUGACGAGUGGCGGACGGGUGAGUAAUGUCUGGGAAACUGCCUGAUGGAGGGGGAUAACUACUGGAAACGGUGGCUAAUACCGCAUAACGUCGCAAGACCAAAGAGGGGGACCUUCGGGCCUCUUGCCAUCAGAUGUGCCCAGAUGGGAUUAGCUUGUUGGUGAGGUAACGGCUCACCAAGGCGACGAUCCCUAGCUGGUCUGAGAGGAUGACCAGCCACACUGGAACUGAGACACGGUCCAGACUCCUACGGGAGGCAGCAGUGGGGAAUAUUGCACAAUGGGCGCAAGCCUGAUGCAGCCAUGCCGCGUGUAUGAAGAAGGCCUUCGGGUUGUAAAGUACUUUCAGCGGGGAGGAAGGUGUUGUGGUUAAUAACCGCAGCAAUUGACGUUACCCGCAGAAGAAGCACCGGCUAACUCCGUGCCAGCAGCCGCGGUAAUACGGAGGGUGCAAGCGUUAAUCGGAAUUACUGGGCGUAAAGCGCACGCAGGCGGUCUGUCAAGUCGGAUGUGAAAUCCCCGGGCUCAACCUGGGAACUGCAUUCGAAACUGGCAGGCUUGAGUCUUGUAGAGGGGGUAGAAUUCCAGGUGUAGCGGUGAAAUGCGUAGAGAUCUGGAGGAAUACCGGUGGCGAAGGCGGCCCCCUGGACAAAGACUGACGCUCAGGUGCGAAAGCGUGGGGAGCAAACAGGAUUAGAUACCCUGGUAGUCCACGCCGUAAACGAUGUCUACUUGGAGGUUGUGCCCUUGAGGCGUGGCUUCCGGAGCUAACGCGUUAAGUAGACCGCCUGGGGAGUACGGCCGCAAGGUUAAAACUCAAAUGAAUUGACGGGGGCCCGCACAAGCGGUGGAGCAUGUGGUUUAAUUCGAUGCAACGCGAAGAACCUUACCUGGUCUUGACAUCCACAGAACUUUCCAGAGAUGGAUUGGUGCCUUCGGGAACUGUGAGACAGGUGCUGCAUGGCUGUCGUCAGCUCGUGUUGUGAAAUGUUGGGUUAAGUCCCGCAACGAGCGCAACCCUUAUCCUUUGUUGCCAGCGGUUAGGCCGGGAACUCAAAGGAGACUGCCAGUGAUAAACUGGAGGAAGGUGGGGAUGACGUCAAGUCAUCAUGGCCCUUACGACCAGGGCUACACACGUGCUACAAUGGCGCAUACAAAGAGAAGCGACCUCGCGAGAGCAAGCGGACCUCAUAAAGUGCGUCGUAGUCCGGAUUGGAGUCUGCAACUCGACUCCAUGAAGUCGGAAUCGCUAGUAAUCGUGGAUCAGAAUGCCACGGUGAAUACGUUCCCGGGCCUUGUACACACCGCCCGUCACACCAUGGGAGUGGGUUGCAAAAGAAGUAGGUAGCUUAACCUUCGGGAGGGCGCUUACCACUUUGUGAUUCAUGACUGGGGUGAAGUCGUAACAAGGUAACCGUAGGGGAACCUGCGGUUGGAUCACCUCCUUA